UACGUGGGGAGCGAGCGUUGUCCGGAUUCAUUGGGCGUAAAGAGCUCGUAGGCGGCUUGAUAAGUCGGAUGUGAAACCUCCAGGCUCAACCUGGAGUCGCCAUCCGAUACUGUCAUGGCUAGAGUCCGGUAGGGGCCCACGGAAUUCCUGGUGUAGCGGUGAAAUGCGCAGAUAUCAGGAGGAACACCGGUGGCGAAGGCGGUGGGCUGGGCCGGCACUGACGCUGAGGAGCGAAAGCGUGGGGAGCGAACAGG
rnacentral:rRNA from 1 species